rnacentral:rRNA from 1 species
AAUAUUGGACAAUGGGGGCAACCCUGAUCCACCCAUGCCGCGUGUGUGAAGCAGGUCUUCGGAUUGUAAAGCACUUUACGUUGGUAGGAAGGGCAGUAAGUUACUACCUUGCUGUUUUGCCGUUACCGACACAAUAAGCCCCGGCUAACUCUGUUCCAGCAGCCGCGGUACUACAGAGGGUGCAAGGGUUAAUCGGAAUUACUGGGCGUAAAGCGGGAGUAGGUGGUUCAGGAAGAUGGGUGUGAAAUCCCCGGGCUUAACCUGGGAACUGCUUUCAUAACGGGUGGGGUAGAGGACGGUAGAGGGUAGUGGAAUUUCCUGUGUAGCGGUGAAAUGCGUAGAUAUAGGAAGGAACUCCAGUGGCGAAGGCGACUACCUGGACUGAGACUGACACUGAGGUGCGAAAGGGUGGGGAGCAAAC